UACGGGGGGGGCAAGCGUUGUUCGGAAUUACUGGGCGUAAAGGGCUCGUAGGCGGCCAACUAAGUCGGACGUGAAAUCCCUCGGCUUAACCGGGGAACUGCGUCCGAUACUGGAUGGCUUGAGUUCGGGAGAGGGAUGCGGAAUUCCAGGUGUAGCGGUGAAACGCGUAGAUAUCUGGAGGAACACCGGUGGCGAAGGCGGCAUCCUGGACCGACACUGACGCUGAGGAGCGAAAGCCAGGGGAGCAAACGGG
rnacentral:rRNA from 1 species